AUGGACGCUGUGGACUCCUCCACUUCGCCGUACUCGCCGCCGUCGCUGCGCCACAAGCUGCGGACCACCGUGUGCGGCUGCUUCGGCUCCCCCUCCUCACCAGGCAGCGCAGGGGAGAGGCCGCAAAGCGGGGGCAGGGCCAGGUGGAGGAGGCGCGUGGCGGCCGCUGGGGAGUUCAGGUACGACCCGCUCAGCUACGCGCUCAACUUCGACGACGGCGGCAGCGACGACGGCGCGGAAGCAGAGGACGCAGCCUUCCGGUACCGGAACUUCAACUCUCGCCUGCCGCCCUCGCCGCCAGCGCCGGCCUCCAGAGCCGUUGCCAUCGCCUGA
rnacentral:rRNA from 1 species